rnacentral:rRNA from 1 species
AUGUCACUAGCUUCUGAUGUCUCAAAUGAUGCCAUGGCCCAGAGAAGCUGCGACACCAACAUUAUCUCGGUGGAUCCAUCCCUGGAGCUGCGGUUCGUCUUCGAGCCAAGGAAGGAGACGUCGUGCUGCCUACAGAUAAUCAACAAGACGGAGGGCAUCGUCGCGUUCAACAUAAAAAUUAACCAGAACAAGUAUAGUGUGCGGCCAAGCCAAGGGACCAUGCCGCCGUGCUCCUGUUGUUAUGUUAUCGUGACCUUGCAGGCGCAGGAGGCGGCGCCGCCCAACAUGCGGUGCCAGGACAUGCUCUUCGUGCAGAACACCAGCAUCACCCAAGACCUGGAAUCCAGAAAUGGUGAGAUUGAUUAUCAAGAAUUGUUUGAAAAGGCCAUGGCGGAUAAGGUGGUUGAUGUGGUGAGGCUUCCGAUCGUUUAUGUUACACCGGACCAAUAG